UGAGGCCUACGGGGCGCAGCAGUGGGGAAUAUUGCACAAUGGGGGAAACCCUGAUGCAGCAACGCCGCGUGAGUGAAGAAGUAUUUCGGUAUGUAAAGCUCUAUCAGCAGGGAAGAAAAAAGACGGUACCUGACUAAGAAGCCCCGGCUAACUACGUGCCAGCAGCCGCGGUAAUACGUAGGGGGCAAGCGUUAUCCGGAUUUACUGGGUGUAAAGGGAGCGUAGACGGCUAAUCAAGUCAGAAGUGAAAACCCAGGGCUCAACCUUGGGACUGCUUUUGAAACUGAGUAGCUAGAGUGCAGUAG
rnacentral:rRNA from 1 species